rnacentral:rRNA from 1 species
UACGUAGGGGGCUAGCGUUGUCCGGAAUCAUUGGGCGUAAAGGGUGCGUAGGCGGGUCUUUAAGUCAGGGGUGAAAUCCUGGAGCUCAACUCCAGAACUGCCUUUGAUACUGAGGAUCUUGAGUUCGGGAGAGGUGAGUGGAACUGCGAGUGUAGAGGUGAAAUUCGUAGAUAUUCGCAAGAACACCAGUGGCGAAGGCGACUUCCUGGCCUGUUCUUGACGCUGAGGCGCGAAAGCUAGGGGAGCAAACGGGG